UGAGAAUACUGUAUUCAAGGUGCGGGAAGCAGAAGGGAAGCCUGGGUGUGUGGGGGAGACAAGGGAUGAAGAAGGUGAAUGUGAGGUCAGAGAUCACUGAUGAUGGUUGUAGGAAAUAAGGAAUGACAUUCUGUUUGUUGGUGGGUUUUAUUUGUUUGUAAUUUUUUGAUAGAAGCAUUUUCAAAAUGUACAAUGGAUAUAUAUAAGAAAGAUCAUCACAGAAGGAGAUGACAGACCAUAGAGAGACGAAACCAUGCUCCAGCAUAUGGAUUUCCCUCCACUGGCCCUCUUUCAUGAUGCUCUCUCCCUCUGCUCCCUUGAUCUUCCAGCUUUUGCUGAAGUCUUCUCAGAUGAUUUUCCAGAUUAAUCAAGACAACACUGUACUACAUGAAAAUAUAUUUCUACAUCAAACAAUUUAAAUAAAGAUUUGUUGUUCC
rnacentral:lncRNA from 1 species